UUAAGCAUAUCAAUAAGCGGAGGAAAAGAAACCAACCGGGAUUGCCUUAGUAACGGCGAGUGAAGCGGCAAAAGCUCAAAUUUGAAAUCUGGCACCUUCGGUGUCCGAGUUGUAAUUUGAAGAAGCAACUUUGGGGCUAGUCCUUGUCUAUGUUCCUUGGAACAGGACGUCAUGGAGGGUGAGAAUCCCGUUUGGCGAGGAGUCUAGUCCUAUGUAAAGUGCUUUCGACGAGUCGAGUUGUUUGGGAAUGCAGCUCUAAGUGGGUGGUAAAUUCCAUCUAAAGCUAAAUAUUGGCGAGAGACCGAUAGCGAACAAGUACAGUGAUGGAAAGAUGAAAAGAACUUUGAAAAGAGAGUGAAAAAGUACGUGAAAUUGUUGAAAGGGAAGGGCAUUUGAUCAGACAUGGUGUUUUGCGACCCUCGCUCCUUGUGGGUGGGGAUCUCGCAGUUCACUGGGCCAACAUCAGUUUUGGCGGCAGGAUAAAUCUUUGGGAAUGUGGCUUUUCUUCGGAGAAGCGUUAUAGACCAGGGGAAUACUGCCAGCCGGGACUGAGGACUGCGACUUUUGUCAAGGAUGUUGGCAUAAUGGUUAUAUGCCGCCCGUCUU
rnacentral:rRNA from 1 species